rnacentral:rRNA from 1 species
CAGUAGCCGCGGGAAUACGAAGGGAGCAAGCGUUACUCGGAAUUACUGGGCGUAAAGCGUGCGUAGGUGGUGGUUUAAGUCCGUUGUGAAAGCCCUGGGCUCAACCUGGGAAUUGCAGUGGAUACUGGAUCACUAGAGUGUGGUAGAGGAUAGUGGAAUUUCCGGUGUAGCAGUGAAAUGCGUAGAGAUCGGAAGGAACAUCUGUGGCGAAGGCGACUAUCUGGGCCAACACUGACACUGAGGCACGAAAGCGUGGGGAGCAAACAGGAUUAGAUACCCCAGUAGUCCCUGUCUCUUAUAC